GAUGAACGCUGGCGGCGUGCCUAAUACAUGCAAGUCGAGCGAACAGAUAAGGAGCUUGCUCCUUUGACGUUAGCGGCGGACGGGUGAGUAACACGUGGGUAACCUACCUAUAAGACUGGGAUAACUUUGGGAAACCGGAGCUAAUACCGGAUAACAUUUGGAACCGCAUGGUUCUAAAGUGAAAGAUGGUUUUGCUAUCACUUAUAGAUGGACCCGCGCCGUAUUAGCUAGUUGGUAAGGUAACGGCUUACCAAGGCGACGAUACGUAGCCGACCUGAGAGGGUGAUCGGCCACACUGGAACUGAGACACGGUCCAGACUCCUACGGGAGGCAGCAGUAGGGAAUCUUCCGCAAUGGGCGAAAGCCUGACGGAGCAACGCCGCGUGAGUGAUGAAGGGUUUCGGCUCGUAAAACUCUGUUAUUAGGGAAGAACAAACGUGUAAGUAACUGUGCACGUCUUGACGGUACCUAAUCAGAAAGCCACGGCUAACUACGUG
rnacentral:rRNA from 1 species